CCUCGGUCCCUGCUGCCCCCUGGUGGCCUGAGCUGGGCCCCAGAGGGUGGGGAGCUGGGGCGCCAGGGCACUGCGCGCCUCCUGGCUACACGCUCGCCCCGGGGGCGUGGGCGGUGCGGAGCCUGAGCCUCGGUGGGGGACGGCGACCUCCUCGGCUGCGUCCACUUCCCACCCUGAGGGCAGGUCCGUAAGGGCCGGACCAGAACAAGAGCGGACAUUCAGGGCAGGGAGGGCCUGCCCGCUCCGCGCACCCCGGAAUUCACCUCCGGAGGGCCUGCAGCACCGGCACUGGGCCACGCUGCGCUGUUCAGAGUCGGCCGUGCGCGGGGACAGUGUAGUUGAAAACAGACAUUCUUCUGACAGCGGUUGGCGGGAUCCAAGGAUGCGGAUAGCAGGUCGGAGGGCGGGCCGCGCACGCCCUGCCCGGGCCCGCGGAGGGGGAUCCGGAUGGCGACCCUGGCUCCAGCGAUCAGGCCGCCAUCCUCUGGGUGGUUCCUGACCCGGCCCCAGCCCCAGCCUCAUUCUCACCGGGCCUCUUCCUGGGCCGGCCACAGCGCGCUCUCGCUCUGACCCGAACUGGACGGGAUUGAACCCUGGGCUGUGGCACUGGGCAACACCCCCAGCCCUCUUCAUUUUUCAUUUCAAGACAGGUCUCACGAAGUCACUGGGUUGCCCAGGCAGGGCAAGAACUUGUGCUCCUCCUGCCUCAGCCUCCCAGAGAGCUGAGGUAACAGUGCACCCCACGCCCCGCAGAAGUCCCUGUUUAAGCCACCAGGUUUGGGGACGCGCUCAGCCACCAUGGAACUUGAGUACCCCACUCAGCCUCCACCUCUUCAUCUGGGCAGUCCCAGCCCUUCCCAGCCCCUUGGGGACAGCAUCGAGGGCAGUGUCCCGGGGGGGGGGGGCUGGCCUUCCGUGUGCCCUGCUGCAGAGCCCACACUGAGCCUCUCGGGGCCUGAGCCUCCCUUGGCUCUGGAGAGCAGGUGGGAGCCAUGGUGGUGGUCUCGCCUCCGGGACACCAAGUGUGGAGCCGAAUAGAGCCCAGGGCCUCUGCACUGAGCAUAUCCCCAGCCCGCACACACAGCGAGCAGUAAACACCUGUGCCUGAACAAAUGACUGAGCAAAUGAAUGGCGUCUUCAUGUAGCAACCCAUCACGGCCUCGAGCUGAACCCCGCUGCCGUGGGCCGCGCCUCAGUGUCCACAUCUCCCCAAGACCUGUGACACAGCCAGGCACCCGGUGCUGUCCCACGGAUGUGUGUAAUCACACACGACACUGUGUGAGGUAUGGGGACCCUUGGCUUACGAACUCAAUCUGUUCCGAGGGCUAGUUGUAACUCAGGUUGAUCGGGUGAGGCUCAGGCUCCUACACGGACCUCAAAGUCUCUCUCCUAUACACAGGCAGAUCUCAGUGUCCUUGGAGACACUGGCCCAGGAUUUCUCAAUGAACCCCACACAGGAGAAGAUGCUGUCAUGUUCCUUCCAGAGCUCUUUAGGGUUAAAUCUGUUUCUGAGACCAUCUGGAAACACAAGCAGCCGGCAUUCGGGUCAUAACUCAAGACUUUGGUCACAAGUUAAAAACUAAAAUUCUGAUCGUAACCCAAGUUUGUCUGUCAGGCGGGUCCUAACUGGAAGGUCCCCUGCACUCAGCCCUCUACUUCUCAUCUCUUAGGGUUUCUCCUGCUUAGAAGGUGGGCUUCAUGCAGGCAGAGCUCUGUGUGCCACGUCAAUACUGGCUGCCGGGCCCAGCAGAGUCUGAUAAGCAGUAGGCAUUCAGUGGUGACCGGGCGGGGAGUGGAGCCGCGAGGCGCACCAGAGCCCCAAAUCGGGUUCCUCCGGAGCCCUCUGCUGUCCGUGCCCUGGGACCGUCCUCUCUGCUCUUCUGCGGGCCACAGCAGCCUCCUUCUCCUCGAGGCCGCCUGCCUGACCCCAGGGUGGCUGCAGGUGCCACGUGGGCGGGCGUCAAAGGCAGCCCGCUUCCUUGCUCAGAGCUCGCCCUCCUGGCCGCCGCUUGGGGAGGCUGUCACGGGCUGGUUUCCUCCCUGUUCCGUAGCCCCUCCUACUUACGGGAAGGGUUCUGGCUUUCCAUGUGUGUUGGGACAGUGUUUCUUGAAAAUAAAG
rnacentral:lncRNA from 1 species